UGGUACUUUGAUGCAGCAGCCCUAGAAACUAUACACGUAGACUUAUGAUGUGUGCCUACAUGCGCACACACCCUCACGUGCACACACACAUUUUUUUCAUUAACAUUAAAAAAAACCCUAGUGAAACAAUAAUGGAUACUUAGCUGAUAAAUAAAAUUUCAUUUCUAGACAUCACACUCUCCCCAUGAGCAUUAGAAUAAAUGGGCCUCAUUUAAAAGAAGUAAAACAACAACAACAACAAAACAAAACAAAAAAACCAAACUUUCUGGUCUCCCACUUUCUACACAAAAGGUUCACUCAGGAGAAACCACCAUAUGAAAUCCAAAUUUAUCCGGGUUUUACUUGGAAACAGCCUCACCGGAAUGCAGAAGUGGAGCAAGAGAUGAGAGAGACCGUCUGGAACCCAUGUGCGUGCUGUUGCUCGGGGAGGGAGCCCAGGGAGGAAGCCAGGAGCUGCCGAGAUGAUCCAGACCCGGCAUCUCUCAUCAAGCCUGCACUGCUAGACUACUU
rnacentral:lncRNA from 12 species